UGUGACUCCCUGGGCUACGUGGGCUCAAAAACAAUUUAAAUACAAAAACACAAGCAGGUUCCCCUCCUCUCCUUUGCCUUUUGGUCUGGCUCUCCCUACCUUUGGGUUGGCGCCUGACUGAAUGGAAAACCCAUCGUCUUGCAGCCACUAACCUGUGAGCAACGGCUACCUGGAGACCAGGCCCCUCUGCUGGGGGUCCCCCAGGAGCUGUGCCCCAUCAUUCUGCAGCCCACUGACUCCCAGCCUGAGCUUCAAAUUUAUCUCGUCCAUAUACUCUGUGAUAUCAGUGAGAAAACAUCAAUCACACUGCCAUGUUUCAUCUUUGAUUAUUAAAUAUUUGAAUUGCCAUACUGGUUUUCACAGCAACUGUAUCAUUUUACGUUCCCAUCAACAACGUACAAGGGUUCCAGUUUGUCCUCACUAAUGCUUGUCAUUUUCUGGGUUUUUGGCAACAGCCAUCCCAACGGCUGUGAAGCAGUAUCUCACCGCGGUUUGGAUUUGCACU
rnacentral:lncRNA from 1 species